GACAAGAUGUCUGAACUAAAGAAAUAGUCUGUAAAACUAACCAUGGAAUUUCCUCCUCUUGUCA
rnacentral:tRNA from 1 species